rnacentral:rRNA from 1 species
AGUGAACGCUGGCGGUAGGCCUAACACAUGCCAGUCGAACGGCAGCACGGUAAGAGCUUGCUCUUACGGGUGGCGAGUGGCGGACGGGUGAGGAAUACAUCGGAAUCUACUUUUUCGUGGGGGAUAACGUAGGGAAACUUACGCUAAUACCGCAUACGACCUACGGGUGAAAGCAGGGGAUCUUCGGACCUUGCGCGAUUGAAUGAGCCGAUGUCGGAUUAGCUAGUUGGCGGGGUAAAGGCCCACCAAGGUGACGAUCCGUAGCUGGUCUGAGAGGAUGAUCAGCCACACUGGAACUGAGACACGGUCCAGACUCCUACGGGAGGCAGCAGUGGGGAAUAUUGGACAAUGGGCGCAAGCCUGAUCCAGCCAUACCGCGUGGGUGAAGAAGGCCUUCGGGUUGUAAAGCCCUUUUGUUGGGAAAGAAAAGCAGCAGGUUAAUACCCCGCUGCUCUGACGGUACCCAAAGAAUAAGCACCGGCUAACUUCGUG